CUGCUUUUAAUAUAUAUAUUUUUUUAAACAAAAAAAAUAAAUAACUGAUUAAAUCAAAUGUACAAUAGACAUUAUGCAAUCAUUAUGCACUUUUAACUACUUCUUCUGGUCCGCUCUGCACAGCUGUCACCGAAAAACAGAAGCACAAUGAGGGGAGAGUGGGGUCAUGGCACCGGGAGAAUAGGGUAAGGUGGGGCUGCAAGGGUAGGCUAGGACAGGGUUAGUUGGGCUGGUGAGGUAGGCUAGGACAGGGUUAGUUGGGCUGGUGAGGUAGGCUAGGAGGGGUUAAGUUGGGCUGGUGAGGAGGGGGUAAGUUGGGCUGGUAGUGUAGGUAAGGAGGGGGUAAGUUGGGCUGGUGAGAAGGGGGUAAGUUGGGCUGGUGAGGAGGGAAUCAGUUGGGCUGGUAGGGUAGGUGAGGAGGGGGUAAGUUGGGCUGGUGAGGGGGGGGGUAGUUGGGCUGGUGAGGUAGGUGAGGAGGGGGUAGUUGGGCUGGUGAGGAGGGAAUCAGUUGGGCUGGUAGGGUAGGUGAGGAGGGGGUAGUUGGGCUGGUGAGGAGGGAAUCAGUUGGGCUGGUAGGGUAGGUGAGGAGGGGGUAGUUGGGCUGGUGAGGAGG
ensembl:lncRNA